ACGCUCGACACCUACGGGAUGCAGCAGUGGGGAAUAUUGCACAAUGGGGGAAACCCUGAUGCAGCGACGCCGCGUGAGCGAAGAAGUAUCUCGGUAUGUAAAGCUCUAUCAGCAGGGAAGAAGAUGACGGUACCUGACUAAGAAGCACCGGCUAAAUACGUGCCAACAGCCGCGGUAAUCUGAGCGGGCUGGCAAGGC
rnacentral:rRNA from 1 species